rnacentral:rRNA from 1 species
GACGAACGCCGGCGGUGUGCUUAACACAUGCAAGUCGAACGGUAAGGCCCUUUCGGGGGUACACGAGUGGGGAACGGGUGAGUAAGACGUGAGUAACCUGCCCGCAUCUCUGGGAUAACAGUCGGCAACGGUUGCGAAUACUGGAGAUGAGGUUGCAAGGCAUCCUGUGGGGUGGAAGGAUUUUUUUUGGGUGGGGGGGGGCUCGCGGGCUUUCAGCUUGUUGGUGGGGGGGUGGGGCAUCAAGGCUUCGACGGGGGGCCGGCCUGUGAGGGGGAGCGGCCACAUUGGGACUGAGAUACGGCCCAAACUCCUCCGGGAGGCAGAAGUGGGGAAUAUUGCACACUGGACGGAAGUCUGAGGCAGCAACGCCGCGUGCGGGAUGACGGCCUUCGGGUUGUAAACCGCUUUCAAUUGUGACGAAGCUUUUUUGUGACGGUAGCAGUAGAAGAAGCACCGGCUAACUACGUG